AUUUAACAGAAGCACAGGGUUAUCAUCUCUCCGUUCUUAUGACUAAAUCUUUCUUUUACCAGAUGUUCAAGACGAAUGGAGGCCUGAGAGCCCAUGCUGCAAAAAUACGCAUUAGUACAGAACAUGGAAGCGUGGAUCAAAGUCAAGCCUCCAUCAACAACAGUCCUGAAGGAUGAUAGACUGUGAAUGCAGCAAGAAUGAAUGUUUUUGAAUAUAAAAACACGUGGAAGCUAAUGGCAUGGCUUACAAGAAUGAUUAUUCAAGCAGGUGAGAACUAUGAACACUUAUUUAGCAAUAAC
rnacentral:lncRNA from 1 species